rnacentral:rRNA from 1 species
GACGAACGCUGGCGGCGUGCUUAACACAUGCAAGUCGAACGGAAAGGCCCUGCUUUUGUGGGGUGCUCGAGUGGCGAACGGGUGAGUAACACGUGAGUAACCUGCCCUUGACUUUGGGAUAACUUCAGGAAACUGGGGCUAAUACCGGAUAGGAGCUCCUGCUGCAUGGUGGGGGUUGGAAAGUUUCGGCGGUUGGGGAUGGACUCGCGGCUUAUCAGCUUGUUGGUGGGGUAGUGGCUUACCAAGGCUUUGACGGGUAGCCGGCCUGAGAGGGUGACCGGCCACAUUGGGACUGAGAUACGGCCCAGACUCCUACGGGAGGCAGCAGGGGGGAAUAUGGCCCAAUGGGCGGAAGCCUGAUGCAGCAACGCCGCGGGCGGGAUGACGGCCUUCGGGUUGUAAACCGCUUUCGCCUGUGACGAAGCUUGAGUGACGGUAAUGGGUAAAGAAGCACCGGCUAACUACGUG